GAACGUCAUUCCGAGCGGAGCGAAGAACAUCGCCAGUGUAGUACUUCUACCACACUGGCGAUAUUCUUCGCUCCGCUCGGAAUGACGUUC
rnacentral:pre_miRNA from 20 species